GUAGCAGGGCUAAGCAUCCCUACGCAGUUUUUAAAGUAAAACAGGUGCCAAGGACAAGAUAAAAAAUAUCAAAGUAGUAAAUGCAGCAAGUAGGUUCACCCAAUUCUCAACUAUCUAAUGCAGCAUUUUCAAUUCAUAAGUGAUAAAAGAUUUAAAACAUUCAAGGAGGGGUAAUGCAUCCGGGGCUUGCCUUGGUUGCAGGGCAGAGAGGGACCCUCGGAGACUUCCCAAGUCUCGGAUCCGACUUCCUCGAACGGAGCACCGACCUCGGGGUUCGGUUCAACGGGCGCUCCUUCGGUCACGGACACUACACGCAAAAUGAUGAAUGCUCAUGAUAGGUGUAUGACAAUUAUGCAAGAAGGACCGAAUCGAGUACAACUCGCCUUCUUGAUGCAAUACAGAAUUAUCACUAAAUAAAGUUGCUUAAUAUCUUAAUGUUUUUACCCAAAAGGUGGCAUCUGUAAACUAAGACUUUAUUUAAUUCAUAUUUAUUUUAAAUUAGUAAUUAUUAAUCCUAAUUACUUUAAUUAAUUCUUAAUUAACUAUUAAUGACAGUAAUUAAGCAUUAAGGCUAAAUAAUAAUAAAAUGUCAAAGGUCAUUAGGGUUAACGACCUCAGGUUAUCACACAAUCCCAAAAUCACUCAACCCCAAUUAUGAGGAGCUAAACAAUCACUAUUUAAUUAUUUUGGAAUUAUUAUUUAAGUGCUAAAUAAGGAUUUAUUAAUGUUUUAAUCAAAUAUUAUCCAAAUGCCACCAAAUUUUGUGUGGAGCCCGGGAAUACCACUCAGAGGCUCUCCACAAUUUUUGGUGAUUUUUGGACCUCCUAAUAAAUUACUAAAAUUCCUAGAAGUUUUAUUCACUAAUUAAAGAGCCAAUUUUUAUAGACAUGCAAACUAUCAGAGAAAUAAAUUCUAAUAUUUUUCCUAGGCUCUAUACAUUUUCUGGAACCUACCCAAAAAGUUUCACUAUUUUUGGACCACUACACAAUUCAAUAUUCAAAUUCAAAUAUCAAACAUUUUUAAACAAAAAGGAAAAAAAAAAGUGCACUGUGCAGUGCUGGCGGCCUGCUCGGACCCGGCCCAAGACGGCCCGCGAGCUCUCCCGCGCUCAGCGCCCUCUCCCUCUC
rnacentral:lncRNA from 1 species